GAGAGUUUGAUCCUGGCUCAGGACGAACGCUGGCGGCGUGCCUAACACAUGCAAGUCGAGCGAGGAGAUUCCCUUCGGGGAUGAACCUAGCGGCGGACGGGUGAGUAACACGUGGGCAACCUGCCUUAUAGAGGGGAAUAGCCUUCCGAAAGGAAGAUUAAUACCGCAUAACAUUACAUUUUCGCAUGAAAAAGUAAUUAAAGGAGUAAUCCGCUAUAAGAUGGGCCCGCGGCGCAUUAGCUAGUUGGUGAGGUAACGGCUCACCAAGGCGACGAUGCGUAGCCGACCUGAGAGGGUGAUCGGCCACAUUGGGACUGAGACACGGCCCAGACUCCUACGGGAGGCAGCAGUGGGGAAUAUUGCACAAUGGGGGAAACCCUGAUGCAGCAACGCCGCGUGAGUGAUGAAGGUCUUCGGAUCGUAAAGCUCUGUCUUCAGGGACGAUAAUGACGGUACCUGAGGAGGAAGCCACGGCUAACUACG
rnacentral:rRNA from 1 species